GGGUUGUGAGGUUAAGCGACUAAGCGUACACGGUGGAUGCCCUGGCAGUCAGAGGCGAUGAAGGACGUGCUAAUCUGCGAUAAGCGUCGGUAAGGUGAUAUGAACCGUUAUAACCGGCGAUUUCCGAAUGGGGAAACCCAGUGUGAUUCGUCACACUAUCAUUAACUGAAUCCAUAGGUUAAUGAGGCGAACCGGGGGAACUGAAACAUCUAAGUACCCCGAGGAAAAGAAAUCAACCGAGAUUCCCCCAGUAGCGGCGAGCGAACGGGGAGCAGCCCAGAGCCUGAAUCAGUGUGUGUGUUAGUGGAAGCGUCUGGAAAGGCGCGCGAUACAGGGUGACAGCCCCGUACACAAAAAUGCACAUGCUGUGAGCUCGAUGAGUAGGGCGGGACACGUGGUAUCCUGUCUGAAUAUGGGGGGACCAUCCUCCAAGGCUAAAUACUCCUGACUGACCGAUAGUGAACCAGUACCGUGAGGGAAAGGCGAAAAGAACCCCGGCGAGGGGAGUGAAAAAGAACCUGAAACCGUGUACGUACAAGCAGUGGGAGCCUCUUUAUGGGGUGACUGCGUACCUUUUGUAUAAUGGGUCAGCGACUUAUAUUCUGUAGCAAGGUUAACCGAAUAGGGGAGCCGAAGGGAAACCGAGUCUUAACUGGGCGUUAAGUUGCAGGGUAUAGACCCGAAACCCGGUGAUCUAGCCAUGGGCAGGUUGAAGGUUGGGUAACACUAACUGGAGGACCGAACCGACUAAUGUUGAAAAAUUAGCGGAUGACUUGUGGCUGGGGGUGAAAGGCCAAUCAAACCGGGAGAUAGCUGGUUCUCCCCGAAAGCUAUUUAGGUAGCGCCUCGUGAAUUCAUCUCCGGGGGUAGAGCACUGUUUCGGCAAGGGGGUCAUCCCGACUUACCAACCCGAUGCAAACUGCGAAUACCGGAGAAUGUUAUCACGGGAGACACACGGCGGGUGCUAACGUCCGUCGUGAAGAGGGAAACAACCCAGACCGCCAGCUAAGGUCCCAAAGUCAUGGUUAAGUGGGAAACGAUGUGGGAAGGCCCAGACAGCCAGGAUGUUGGCUUAGAAGCAGCCAUCAUUUAAAGAAAGCGUAAUAGCUCACUGGUCGAGUCGGCCUGCGCGGAAGAUGUAACGGGGCUAAACCAUGCACCGAAGCUGCGGCAGCGACGCUUAUGCGUUGUUGGGUAGGGGAGCGUUCUGUAAGCCUGCGAAGGUGUACUGUGAGGUAUGCUGGAGGUAUCAGAAGUGCGAAUGCUGACAUAAGUAACGAUAAAGCGGGUGAAAAGCCCGCUCGCCGGAAGACCAAGGGUUCCUGUCCAACGUUAAUCGGGGCAGGGUGAGUCGACCCCUAAGGCGAGGCCGAAAGGCGUAGUCGAUGGGAAACAGGUUAAUAUUCCUGUACUUGGUGUUACUGCGAAGGGGGGACGGAGAAGGCUAUGUUGGCCGGGCGACGGUUGUCCCGGUUUAAGCGUGUAGGCUGGUUUUCCAGGCAAAUCCGGAAAAUCAAGGCUGAGGCGUGAUGACGAGGCACUACGGUGCUGAAGCAACAAAUGCCCUGCUUCCAGGAAAAGCCUCUAAGCAUCAGGUAACAUCAAAUCGUACCCCAAACCGACACAGGUGGUCAGGUAGAGAAUACCAAGGCGCUUGAGAGAACUCGGGUGAAGGAACUAGGCAAAAUGGUGCCGUAACUUCGGGAGAAGGCACGCUGAUAUGUAGGUGAAGUCCCUUGCGGAUGGAGCUGAAAUCAGUCGAAGAUACCAGCUGGCUGCAACUGUUUAUUAAAAACACAGCACUGUGCAAACACGAAAGUGGACGUAUACGGUGUGACGCCUGCCCGGUGCCGGAAGGUUAAUUGAUGGGGUUAGCGGUAACGCGAAGCUCUUGAUCGAAGCCCCGGUAAACGGCGGCCGUAACUAUAACGGUCCUAAGGUAGCGAAAUUCCUUGUCGGGUAAGUUCCGACCUGCACGAAUGGCGUAAUGAUGGCCAGGCUGUCUCCAC
rnacentral:rRNA from 1 species